UUUUAUUGGGUACUUACUAUGUGCCAAAUACUAUACUAAAUGCUUUUUACAAAAUUUAAUCCUAAUAACAAAUCAGUAAAGCAGAUAUUAUCAUUGGCCACAAUUUUACAUAUGAGGAAAUGAGCCUUUGAGAGGUCGAGCAGCUUUUUAAUGAUCUCACCACCAAUAGGUUAUGGAAAUGAGAUGGUAAGAUUAAUAAUAUCUGCUUCCACAGAACUCUGCACUUCCCUUAUCAUGAAUGAUACUCCUCAAACGUCUUUGUAAUUGCUUGUUUAGUAUCUGUUCUCCCCACUCUAUGAAAGCGGAGUCUGUGUCUGCAUCUAGCAUAUUUAACAUUUUAUUCUCCCAACCAAAGUACCUGGCAUCCAAUAGUAAUAGCUCAACAAUGUUUGUCAAAUGAAGUCAAAGAAUCAAUAAACUUAGGAAACAACAGGACUUAAAAAUUAUGGAGAAAAUAAUAGGUUACUAACAUUCUUGACGGGUUACAACACAGAUGCCUAUUCCCUGAGAUGAUUACCCACACUUGGCUUUCAAAAGAAAUUACAGCUAUGAAGUCCACAGAAUGAUACAUAUAUUUGGCACAGAAGCCAGCCUCUCUAAGUAGAGCAGCCAAAGGCUUUGCAUUGGAAGCUGUGCUGCAUGAAGGGAAGUAACUCUGGCAAAAUCUAGAAACAACAACUAAUGAUUACGAAUUAAUACUUCUUAAGAGUGAGGAGGAUGACCUUGGGACCAUGACAUUAUUAAAUAAACUGUCAUUGUCGGGGGAUGUUUUUCUCCACCUUCUUUAUUCCUCAUGAAGUUGCUCCCAAUCCAAAUAAGAACAAAGGAUACAAUGCAGCUGGUUUAGGUUGUGCUGAUCAUACCCCUUUGUAACAGAGCAUGGCGUUGAGUAUAUGAUGAUUAAUUUAGAGUGAAGUCAAGUUAAAAGCAGAUGAGAACUGGCAGUUCUAUCAGAUGGAACUCUUUAAUAUACUUAGGAACACUUAACGUACUUGGGUGAAAAUUAAUGCUGAGGGUUUUGGGUACAGACCAUUUAUAAGUAGGUUUGUCUGGAAGAAGAUUAAGCAGUGUAUGAUGGUGGGUGGAUGGAUGGACAGAAGGCAGAUGGAUGGAUGAGUAAAUGGAUUCAGGUGAUGACAGCAGGCAUAGAAAUGAAGGCAUUCACUAAGAAAACAAAGAAUAAAUAAUACAAUUCUUCAAAUUUGUUUCUAAGGUAGGAGCAAAGAUCAUUAUGUUUGAAGUAUAAACAAUUAGAAAUUUGCAGUUUUAUUUUUUAAAAGUGGCAUCCUGGAAAGGAGCAUGAUUUAAUCAGUGUGAUGAUAAGUUUGGUUUUAGAUGUAACUUAUAUCUAAGAGAGAUCUAAGAGAACAGAUGGAAUUACAAUAUUAGAAUGUUUAUGAGAGAUCAGGAACAAAGACCAAGAUUUGGGGAGCAUUAAUAUUGACGUGACCACUGAAGCCAUCAGCAUAGGUUAAUUUACCAAAAGAGGAGAGUGAGAAGCCCAGGGAGCUAUAGGAAUACCCACAAAAAAGGGAUAAGAAGAUGAAGUGUAAUGAGAGGGGUGCUCAGUGGUGGUCAGAAGGUUUGUUGUUCAGGACUACAGAAGUCAAAAUGAAAACGUUUCAAGAAGAACAAUAGUUAAACUUGUUUAAUAUGACAAAGGAAUCAAGAAGGAGAAGAUUAAGAAAAGACAUUGAAUUCAUCUGAAAGGAAAGUCACUGACACGCAGAAUGCUGGUGUAUGGAAAGCAGCCAAAAAGCAGAUUAAGCAGUGAGAGUUAAAGUUAAAGGAGGUGGUAAGCUUACAUUACUCAUUUAAGGACUUUGGGUAUAAAAGGAAGGAAAGAAGUAUAAUGGUGGGAAAUGUUAGGGGCAUUAGGUUAACAAAAUAAAAGGAUACUGAUAUAAUAAAGAAGAAUCUAAUCUUGAAUUCUACACUAUACCCUCCUAGUAAAUUAGUAGCCUUGGAAGGCUCAUUAACUCUGUGAGGGCACCAGGGUAUUGUUCCAUGUAUUAUAUUUGCUGCGCCUGACAAAGCAUAGAGGCUAUGUACUCACAGCUUUAGGAAAACCAUUUCCUGUCACAUUGGAGAGACUCCCUUGGAAAUAAAGAUACCAUUAUGAGCAACAGAAGCAGCAGUGUCUGCUUUUCUAUCAGGAAUAAAUAUCUGAAGAUAACUGUCAAAUCCUUUAGCUAAAAGUUAAUCUCUCAUCAUCAGAUUUUAAGCUACCAGGCCAUCUUUAUGUCUCAAUUUAUUCAUUUGUAAAAUAAGGAGUUUAGAGAGGAUGAUCUAUAAGGAAAUUCUCAGCUCUCAAAAUCCAUAUUCACUGAUUCUUUCCUUCUCAGACCCCAUCACCUGGGGAUGAAGGGAGGUGACUAUAACAUGAAAUGCAAUGAUGCAAUUAAGAAUGGACACAGGAAGCUGUUUUCUUCUUUUUCUCUUUUGCUUGCUCUCCAUUUUCCUUUAUUUUCUACACUUCAGUUUAAAAAUGCAACUUGAAAACUUCUUUAUGGAUCUUAUGAAUGCUAAGGGUUUUUACAAGGGAUUCAUUGACAUUUGAAAUAUUUUACCUAUCACAUGGCCCUUAGAAUCCUUGUAAAUAGUAUUAUGGACAAUAAUUAGAAAAGUAGUAAUAAUGAAACUUACCAUUAUAAUGUUAAUCCCUUUAACCUAAUUCAUUUUUGAAAACAGAAUGUAUAUUAUUGAAAUGGAUUUUCUCAUCUGUAGGCUUCUAAAUUUCAGAUUUAUUUGGAAGAGUGUGAGAAUUCUACUGUCCUCUAUAGCCCUAUAUUGUACAAACCUUUAAUGAUGCACAUCAUAAUUUCUGGAGCCUAAAAUAUAGAAUGUAUCAAUUCAAUUCAACACGUAUUUGGUGAGGGCCUAUUGUGAGAUUUUGGACAUGUUAAAAUGCAGGCAUGGAGUUAUCUACAUGAGCUUAUUAUCUAAUAGGGGAGGGGACUAGCAAUGUUUAUAAUAGCUAUCAUCUAGAUGCUAAUUUGCAACCAAAAAUGUGCUGUCACCUCAUUCUCAUUUGACCCUGACAGCUGCCCUGUAAGGUAAGCUUGCUUCUUGGUUUCCUAUUUACAGAUGAUGAAAUCAAGGAAAAGAGAGGAAAAGUGAGUUGUCCCAAGUCAAAGCAAAUGAUGGGCUAAAACCUAAAUCUUUCCCUCAAAAUAGCAAGCUCUCUUUGCUGUAUGUGGAGGUAGCAGGAUGUAAGAAAUGUCUGGACACUUGCAGUUAGAGUAGGCAUAUUGAAUGUGAAGUUGGGAGGUGAUGGGUGUGGACAUUAUACCAGGAGAUAAGCCUGGAAAACAGGUAGGAACCACACACUAGGGAAGUUUAGAUCCCAACCACAACAGUUUAGGCGUUAUUAUUUAUGGAUUAGUUGCUAAAUGAAGGAUGUUGAAAAGAUAAAGUCAGAUGUGUGUUUUACGAAGAGUCCUGAUGGCACCCAGGAGGGUGGCAAGGAGAGUCACGACCAGCACAGAGGCAGUGGGCUUGCAAGGGGGGCGGAUAAUGUUAGAGGUGCUUUCCCUAAGAGGAAGCAGACCCACUUUGGAUUUGCUGGGUGUUACCAGGCCUAGAUUCAGUCCACAUGUCCUACUGCCCACUCCCCAGUCUAUAAAGAAAAUAUUUAACCUUUUAAAAAUUUACUUUACAAGGUAGGGGACUUAAAGAUCCCUUCCUGUUACUAGAAUCGACCUGAUGAUUUCAAGUAAUUAACUUAUUUAGCAAGCUUUUCUUUCUGACAGUCUUUUUAAGCUCUCUCUAUACCAGGUCACAAUAUAAAAUCAGCCUGUUAGUUUGAUUUCUUUAAUUUCUGUCUCAUUAUAGCUUAUUGGUUCUUUCAAAACAGAAGUAACAGCAGUGAUGUCAGCAAGAUGGUAAAGUAGGAGACAGCAGCCUUCAUCCUCCCCCAAAACAACAGACAGCUACCCACAAAUGAAGAUGGCCCCAGAAGGGCUCAAUAAACCCAGUUGAAAAUCUACAGCAGCACAAUGACACCAAGUAGUGUUCUACAGAGAGGUAGGUGUGGAUUGUAAAUGGUGGAACCAGCAUCUUGGAAG